rfam:Parcubacteria bacterium GW2011_GWA2_53_21 TY79_C0001, whole genome shotgun sequence.
GCCGCAGUAGCUCAGCUGGUAGAGCGCGUCCAUGGUAAGGACGAGGUCUCGGGUUCGAUCCCCGACUGUGGCU